GAAAGAUGUGUCAGACCAACUUAUUGGAUGC
rnacentral:piRNA from 1 species